rnacentral:misc_RNA from 1 species
AAGUACAAUUCAAAAAAAACCUACAUACAACUCUCAUUAUUUGUUCUCACUUUACAAGUUACUUGAAUUCUUCCCUUCUUGUUUAACUUGUUGGAUUCUGUGAUGUAGCCUUCUCCGAUGAUCAUGGAUUUUCCACAGUCCGUGUCCAAGAAUUACGGCAGAGUAUAUUCCAUGUGUGAUUAUAGGUGCAAGAAUGUUGUUUGUCUGGAUCCAUUCAAACCCAAGGUAAAGGGCUAGUAUUGCUUCCAGUAGAGGAGAAUAAAUCUUCUUCAUCUGCCGCCUCUCGUACCAAGCUGCAAAGAGUUUUUUCAGAUCUUCACGGCCUGAA